rnacentral:lncRNA from 1 species
UCUAAUUCAGUGACGGAAGGCUGCUGGGUGUAGUCAAGUACUUGACUUGUCGGUGCGUGUGUCAAGAUGGGAUUGACCACUCUAAUUUAGGAGCUGUGUACAGUCGUGUUUCAAUUUAGCAAAAUCUUGGCCAGGAUAGUCCUAGUGAGGAGUCACAGGACAGAUUGAGUUGAGCAUGAUUUGGACGAUCUGAUCAGGGUUGACAGUUUAACCCUGAGUCAUCCUAAACACAGAGGUCAAAAGGGAUGAAUUAUACAGUAACCAUAUUCACAUAGGUUCUGAAUGUUGCGAUUACGACUAUUUGACCUAUCCGAACGUCAGGUACCAUUGCUAAAUGGUCACUUUGAUUAGUACAGAAAUUGGUUCCUGUGCUACCGGCUUUGGUUCGAACCUGCGAGGUCACACACAUUAGAGGUUUCUAUCUGAUCUGAUGGCUGAUGAAGAGUCCUACAUGUCUGAGACUCUGUGAUCGAGAAUCAGGAUUCUCUGAUCAUGAGUACCAC